rnacentral:rRNA from 1 species
UACGAAGGGGGCGAGCGUUGUUCGGAUUUACUGGGCGUAAAGGGCGCGCAGGCGGCUCAUUUUGUCAGGCGUGAAAGCCCCGGGCUUAACCUGGGAACUGCGUUUGAUACGGAUGGGCUAGAGUUCGGGAGAGGAGAGUGGAAUUCCCAGUGUAGAGGUGAAAUUCGUAGAUAUUGGGAAGAACGCCGGUGGCGAAGGCGGCUCUCUGGACCGACACUGACGCUGAGGCGGCGAAAGCGUGGGGAGCAAACAGG